AAUUUUCUUUUUUGACAUUUUUUUUCAUUGUUGUUGUGGAAUCAGUUUCACCGAAACUCUUCCUUCGACAAUACACAAAAGAGGCUUUUAUAGCUACUAAGACGCAAUUAUCAACUCUAAAUUAAACAAAGUCUUUUAAAUUGUAACAGUUGGACAAUAAUAUCGUUCUGAUUCUGUAAUUAAUUCAGUGGCGGAAAAAAUGAAAACUCUACCGUCAACGUAUGUUGAGGGAUUCCAUGAUCGCGAGGCUGUUGAGGCUAUGGAAUAUAGAACACUUGGGAAAACUGGUCUUAGAAUAAGUAAACUUUCUCUUGGAGGUGGACCCUUCGGCAAUCUUUAUGGUACGUGUAAUGAAGAAGAAGUUAUUGAACUUGUAAGGCACGCUAUAAAACAAGGAAUUAAUUACUUAGACACUGCUCCAUGGUAUGGACAAGGACGUUCAGAAACCUUAUUAGGCAAGGCCCUGAAAGGAAUACCACGACAAGCUUACUAUAUCGCAACAAAAGUAGGAAGAUACGAAUUAGAUUAUGAGCGUAUGUUUGACUUCACGACGGAAAAAACAAGGCAGAGUUUUCAAAAGAGUUUGGAUUUGUUGGGUCUCGAUUACGUUGAUAUAAUUCAGGUGCACGAUAUAGAGUUUGCACCAUCAUUGGACAUAAUUGUUAGUCAAACACUGCCGGAAUUAUCGAGACAAGUCACUAAAGGAAAGGCGAAAUUUAUCGGCGUUACUGGUUAUCCUGUAUCGGUCCUCAAAGAGUGUAUCGAACGAAGUAACAUUGAUAUAUCUGUGGUGUUGAGUUAUGCAAGAUUUACACUCAUUGAUGAUACUUUGAUGCAGUACAUUCCAUUCUUUAAGGAGCAUAAUAUUGGAAUCAUUAACGCGGCUCUAACUUGCAUGAGACUUUUGACUAAUAGAGGACCACCAGAAUGGCAUCCAGCAUCAGAUGAUACCAAACAACAAUGUAAAGAAGCAGCUGGCUGUUGCAAGGAUCAUGAUAUGGAGUUAGGUAAAUUGUCAGUCUGGGGUUCAAUGGAAUGUGAGGAUGUUAGCAGUAAUUUGGUGGGAAUGAUGACUUUAGACGAACUAAAGGCUAAUUUGGACGUUGUACGAAAUGGGAUUUCGGAGGAGGAAAAGCUUGUUCUGAAAGAGAUAAGAGAAAAUUCCCGUUAUCAGAGACUCUUAAAAUGCCUCGUUUGACUGUGACUUACGCGACAAAUUUUCUCUGCGUGAUUAGAAAACUAAAAAUGAUGCUUCAAGCUAAAAUGGUGAUAAAUGAUAUCUGUCGAAAAUGAUGGGUCAACAUUGGGAGAGCGAAGGACUAAAGCAAUCUUGGAAUUCUUUAAAAUAAUUUUUGUAUAUAUUAUAUAUAUAUAUAUAUAUAUAUAUAUUAUAUAUAUAUACUACUACGUUUUAUUGCAAUGUAGGACGAAUAUCUUUUAGAUAUAAAAAAUAUGUUUUAUACCCAAAUAAAUGUAUCUUACAUUUAAUAACAAUUGAGAGCACAGUAAGUUGUAAAAAUUGUAAAAUACUUUUUGUCUUUUUUAAAAUGAUUUUUAUUGCUGUUGAAUUUACUAUAGAAGAAUAAAUAAUGUUUUGAAAUAAA